rnacentral:ncRNA from 1 species
GAAAAGGUGAAGAACGGGAAGAGUAGCAUAUGCAUGCUUUACAGAGAAGGAAGGUCAUCGGCUGAGAGCCCUCCGAAAGAACGGAUAUGUGAAGUGCGCCCGGGAGCCGGAUCUGUGAAAAGAGAGUAGCAGACCACGUAAGCAGUCGUUACCUGCAUACAUGAGUGAAAAGGGCGGACGCCCUUUUUAAUAGAGUGGAACCGCGGAUCAACUUCGUCUCUAAG